rnacentral:rRNA from 1 species
GACGAACGCUGGCGGCGUGCUUAACACAUGCAAGUCGAACGAAGUGGCGAACGGGUGAGUAACGCGUAAUCAACCUGCCCUUCAGAGGGGGACAACAGUUGGCAACGACUGCUAAUACCUCAUCCUGAAGGAAGGGAGUGCGUCUGAUUAGCUCGUGGGCGGGGUAACGGCCCACCACGCCGACGAUCUCUAGCUGGUCUGAGAGGAUGACCAGCCACACUGGGACGGAGACACGGCCCAGACUCCUACGGGAGGCAGCAGUGGGGAAUAUUGCGCAAUGGGGGCAAGCCUGACGCAGCCAUGCCGCGUGAAUGAAGAAGGCCUUCGGGUUGUAAAGUUCUUUCGGUGGGGAGCGUUAACUACAGAAGAAGCACCGGCUAACUCCGUGCCAGCAGCCGCGGUAAUAC